GGGCAAGUCUUCAGAUAAAACCUAUCCAGCGGGACAAACAAUAUCAGGCACAAAAGAAACUAAAAGCUCCUCUCUUGAGUUUAAGCAUGGUCAUUGCCGAGUAGGAUGCAUAUUUUAGAGAUGAAGAGAAGAUUCUUACGAUCGACAGACCAAGCAUACAACUAUCCAAUUAGUAAAACCACAACAACGUUACUUAAAAUACAAUUUCCUGUGACACGAAAGUACCAAAUGGAGAAAGUAUAAGGCAUGAACACCAGCGAAUCUAUGUUUAUUAACACUAGCAGUAUCCAAAAUAGAUAAAGGAUGAGUUCAGCCUCCAUAUUCACACAACAACUAACGUGCCCCAAGAAACUCUUUCAACUUUUCAAAUGGCUCUAUUUGAUCUUGAAUUGUCCCAAAAGUUUGAUCUCUUCGAAAAUGGGUCCAACAAUGUAUAUAAAGCUAUUAAACAACCUCCCCACGUUGUACUCCAUCUUGACACGGAGAUACGAACAUCCAUACAUGUAACGGGAUAUACACUAUACGUAGGCCAUGCACUUUAAAUCAAAGUAAUUCUUCCAUCCAAACAAAUACAAACAAUUCUUCCCAGCCAACCCAGUCACAUCUCGUCCAAUUUAAUUCCAAACAAUUGGCAUUGCACAUUCAAGGAGGCAUAGAACACUA